GCGCCAUCUUCUCAGGUGGGUGUUUGUGAGGCCCGUGUGUGGAUUCCGCGUACAAUCCGUUUACAUCUGGUCUCUGCGCUUGCCAUCAUCACAGCAAACUAACUGUAACCUUUCUCUCUUUGCCCGUAGAAGCCUCUGCGCCAUGAGAGCCAAGUGGAGGAAGAAGCGAAUGCGCAGGCUGAAGCGCAAAAGAAGAAAGAUGAGGCAGAGGUCCAAGUAAGCCGCAAGCUGUGCACCCGUGAGAGCCACAGGAGCAGGAAUGAGGGAGCCAGAGGCCGGGCGAGCCGGCGGACUGCGUGCCUGCUGUCCGGCGCGUCUCCGCGGGAGCUGGAACAUAACAUGCGCGUCACCUGAGCGCCGCGGCCCCUUUUGAGAGGCCCACUCUGCUAUUACAAAAGCAGCCUCUUUUGGACCCGUGACAUUCUGGACUGGUUCUGUUCUCUGUGGCUGAAUGUAACGUGUACAAUAAAUCACCUCUUCUGUCUUAGCUGAAGAAAGAUAA